GGUAGACUCAGAGUUCACUGAUGGAUGCUGUCGUUGUUAGAUCACUUUAAAAACUGUACAGUGUGGUCCAGCACAGAGCACAGUCUUUCAAAUGAAAGAAAGCUGGAUUUAAAUUCUGACUGUGUCUCCUAGGGUGUAGCCUUGAACCAAGGACAUUCCUUCAACUCUUGCUUUGAUCAUAAGUAAAAUGAAGGAUAAUCAGUAAUGUGAGUAUACUGAAAAAAAUGAAAGCACUGAGCAUGGUGCUGGCAUCCAAGAGAGGCUCAAUAAUUUUCUUUAUUUUUAUUUCAUAGAAUUCCUGACCUCAAAGAACAUAUCUAUGAGUGAUUUCUGAUAGGGAAACAUGUUGACCUUGUCCCAAAUACCUAGUGCUUUCAAAAAAUAGUAACAUGUCUAACAGUCUAUACAAAUUCUUCUCUCUUGUCAGGUAGAAGUGAGAGCAAGAGUCGUAACAGCAAACACCCUUCUGACCUCUGAAAUGCUUCAAACUUUAGAUUACAAAGAUUUUGUUGUCACGGACCGGGACACAGCUGGGGGUGUUGGAAACCACACCCACUUCUGCCUGAGGGAAAGACAGGAUAGUAGCUAGGUGACCACUAGAUACCCUCUCUCAGAGUUGAAGGGUCCUUAAGCCUGAGAGGUCAUUAUUGUCAUCAUCUGUGCCCUGUAAUGAGGUGUUAGUAGGGGUGAUAUGUAUUUCUUCUGGACUGGGAAUUUAACUGCUGGUUUAUGUUCUUCCAGAGCUCCCUCUUUGCCCACUAGCAGGGCAUUAGCUGGUGCUGAAGACAGUGGCUGCUUGGCGAGCCUGGAUCUCCAAGUGACCCCCUCAGCAACUCCUGAUGAACAGGGACUUGCACUUAGGAAUCUGUUACAGUGAGCACAGAAGCAGACCUGUGGGCUCAUAGUCUUCACCCCCCACCCAUAUAUACAAGAUGAACAGAGUGGAGGUUAAACAACUUGACUAAACAACACAGUUCAUGGUAAAGCCCAAGACUGUACCUGCCCAUCCACUGCCUUUUCCAUGUAUCCUGGAACUGAGCAUAGACCUCUUCCCAGGCAGAGCUGACAGCAAGUAAAGGAGAUCAUAAUCAGGGGACCAAACAACUUUGUCUAAAGUGUGAAUGUCACCUAAGGAGAAGCUGUGAGAUCAGAAGGGUGGGGCAGAGGAGCAGACACCAUGAGGGAGAGUCCUUGGGGGUACAUCUGCCAGACUGACACUGUCUGGCCUGGGCAGUGGAGGGGCUAGCAGGAACCACAGGUACUGGUGGUGUGGCUACUACCGUUACAACUGCCUGUGCUUGGACAUGGACCCUCUGCAAUAUGCGGCAGUUUCAUUCAUUGCCCCCUACAUUCUACACCAAGUAGAAAUGGAAGGCAAUUGGAUACUUCACAGACAAGAUCUAAGUGGAGAAGGAAUGCGUCCUGUGGCUGCAGAGAUCCUUGGAGCUUGGAGGGGAGAGCUUGAGCCCCACUGAUGAUGACCUCCCACAGCUCGCCAACUCAGCCCUCCCUAAGUCCCCAUCGGGGGCCAAUUCUCACUCUGGGGUUGGGGGGACUCCACCAUAGCUCAUCCAUCAUAGGGAUGUUGGUAUCUACUGUGGGUUGGGUAGGGCCGAUGUGCUGAGGAUGGCUCCCCCACAAGCAAGAGAUGUGGAUUUGGGGAGCUUCCCAUCUUGUGUUGAAGGAACAUAACUCAGAAUAAUAAGAGCCAACUAUAACAAACCCACAGCCAACAUCAUACUGAAUGGGCAAAAGCUGCAGGCAUUCCCCUUGAAAAGUGGCACAGGAUAAGGAAGCCCUUUCUCACCACUCCUAUUCAAUAUAGUGUUGAAAGUCCUGAUCACAGCAGUCAGGCAACAGAAAUAAUAAAGGGCAUCCAAAUAGGAAGAGAGGAAGUCAAACUAUCCUUGUUUGCAGACAGUAUGAUUCUAUAUCUAGAAAACCCCAUAGCCUCAGCCCAAAAGGUCCUUCAUCUGAUAAUUUCAGCAAAGUUUCAGGAGACAAAAUCAGUGUACAAAAAUCACUAACAUUCCUAUACACAGUCGCCAAGCCAAGAGCCAAAUCAGGAGCACAAUCCCAUUCAUAAUUGCCACAAAAAAGAAUAAAAUACCCAGGAAUGCAGCUAACCAAGGAAGUAAAGGAUCUCUACAAUGAGAAUCACAAACGCUGCUCAAAGAAAUCAGAGAUGACACAAACAAAUGGAAAAACUUUCCAUGCUCAUGGCUAGGAAGAAUCAAUAUCAUUAAAGUGGCCAUACUACCCAAAGCAAUUUAUAGAUUCAAUGCUAUUCCUAUCAAACUAUCAAUUACAUUUUUCACAGAACUAGAAAAAACUUAAAAUUCAUAUGGAACCAAAAAGCCUGAGUAGUCAAGGCAAUCCUAAACAAAAAGAACAAAGGUGGAGGCAUCACAUUACCUAACUUCAAACUACAGGGCUACCAUGACCAAAACAGCAUGGUACUGGUACAAAAGCAGACACACAGACCAGUGGGACAGAAUAGAGAGCCCAAAAAUAAGGCCACAAACCUACAGCCAUCUGAUCUUCAACAAAGUUGACAAAAACAAGCAAUGGGGAAAGGUCUCCCUAUUCAAUAAAUGGUGCUGGGAUAACUGGCUGGCCAUAUGCAGAAGAUCGUAACUGGACCCCUUUUACUAUGUACAAAAAUUAAGAUGGUUUAAAGAGUUAAAACCCAAAAUUAUAAAAAUCCUGAAGAUAACUUAGGCAAUACCAUUCUGGACAUAGGAACUGGCAAAUAUUUCAUGAUGAAGACACCAAAAGCAAUUGUAACAAAAGCAAAAAUGGACAAAUUGGAUUUAAGAGCUUUUUCAUAGCAAAAUAAACAACAGGGCAGACAAUCUACCAAAUGACAGAAAAUUUUUGCAAACUAUGCAUCUGACAAGGGGCUAAUAUCUAGCAUCUAUAAGGAAUUUAAACACAGUUACAGGAAAAAAAAAACCCACUCCAUUAAAAAAUGGGCAAAGGACAUGAACAGACACUUUUCAAAAAAGACAUACAUACAGCCAACUAGCGUGUUAAAGAAAACCUCAAUUAUCACUGAUCAUUAGAGAAAUGCAAAAUCAAAACCAUGAUGAGAUAUCAUCUGCCAGUCAGGAUGGCUACAAAAAAGUAAAAAAAUAAUAGAUGUUGGUGAGGUUAUGGAGAAAAGGAACUUAUACACUUGUUAGGAGUGUAAAUUAGUUCAAUCACUGUGGACAGCAGUGUGGUGAUUCCUCAGAGAGCUAAAAACAACUACCAUUUGACUCACCAAUCCCAUUACUGGAUAUUUACCUAAAGGAAUAUAAAUCAUUCCACCAUAAAGACACAUGCAAGUGUAUGUUCAUUGCAGCACUAUUAACAGUAACAAAGCUGGGCACAGUGGCUCACCUCACGACUGUAAUCCCAGCACUUUGGGAGGCUGAGGUAGGCGGAUCACCUGAGGUCGGCAGUUUGAGACCAGCCUGACCAACAUGGAGAGACCCCAUCUCUACUAAAAAUACAAAAUUAGCCAGGUGUGGUGGCUCAUGCCUGUAAUCCCAGCUACUUGGGAGGCCAAGGCAGGAGAAUUGCUUGAACCCAGGAGGCAGAGGUUGCAGUGAGCCGAGAUCACACCAUUGCACUCUAGCCUGGUGAAGGAGCAAG
rnacentral:lncRNA from 1 species